GAUGAACGCUGGCGGCGUGCCUAAUACAUGCAAGUCGAGCGAACGGACGAGAAGCUUGCUUCUCUGAUGUUAGCGGCGGACGGGUGAGUAACACGUGGAUAACCUACCUAUGAGACUGGGAUAACUUCGGGAAACCGGAGCUAAUACCGGAUAAUAUUUUGAACCGCAUGGUUCAAAAGUGAAAGACGGUCUUGCUGUCACUUAUAGAUGGAUCCGCGCUGCAUUAGCUAGUUGGUAAGGUAACGGCUUACCAAGGCAACGAUGCAUAGCCGACCUGAGAGGGUGAUCGGCCACACUGGAACUGAGACACGGUCCAGACUCCUACGGGAGGCAGCAGUAGGGAACCUUCCGCAAUGGGCGAAAGCCUGACGGAGCAACGCCGCGUGAGUGAUGAAGGUCUUCGGAUCGUAAAACUCUGUUAUUAGGGAAGAACAUAUGUGUAAGUAACUGUGCACAUCUUGACGGUACCUAAUCAGAAAGCCACGGCUAACUACGUGCCAGCAGCCGCGGUAAUACGUAGGUGGCAAGCGUUAUCCCGGAAUAUUGGGCCGUAAGCGCGCGUAGGCGGUUUUUUAGUCUGAUGUGAAAGCCCACGGCCCAACCGUGGAGGGUCAUUGGAAACUGGAAAACUUGAGUGCAGAAGAGGAAAGUGGAAUUCCAUGUGUAGCGGUGAAAUGCGCAGAGAUAUGGAGGAACACCAGUGGCGAAGGCGACUUUCUGGUCUGUAACUGACGCUGAUGUGCGAAAGCGUGGGGAUCAAACAGGAUUAGAUACCCUGGUAGUCCACGCCGUAAACGAUGAGUGCUAAGUGUUAGGGGGUUUCCGCCCCUUAGUGCUGCAGCUAACGCAUUAAGCACUCCGCCUGGGGAGUACGACCGCAAGGUUGAAACUCAAAGGAAUUGACGGGGACCCGCACAAGCGGUGGAGCAUGUGGUUUAAUUCGAAGCAACGCGAAGAACCUUACCAAAUCUUGACAUCCUUUGACAACUCUAGAGAUAGAGCCUUCCCCUUCGGGGGACAAAGUGACAGGUGGUGCAUGGUUGUCGUCAGCUCGUGUCGUGAGAUGUCGGGUUAAGUCCCGCAACGAGCGCAACCCUUAAGCUUAGUUGCCAUCAUUAAGUUGGGCACUCUAAGUUGACUGCCGGUGACAAACCGGAGGAAGGUGGGGAUGACGUCAAAUCAUCAUGCCCCUUAUGAUUUGGGCUACACACGUGCUACAAUGGACAAUACAAAGGGCAGCGAAACCGCGAGGUCAAGCAAAUCCCAUAAAGUUGUUCUCAGUUCGGAUUGUAGUCUGCAACUCGACUACAUGAAGCUGGAAUCGCUAGUAAUCGUAGAUCAGCAUGCUACGGUGAAUACGUUCCCGGGUCU
rnacentral:rRNA from 1 species